rnacentral:misc_RNA from 1 species
GAUAGAACGCAGCGAAAUGCGAUAAGUAAUGCGAAUUGCAGAAUUCAGUGAAUCAUCGAAUCUUUGAACGCACAUUGCGCCCGCCAGUAUUCUGGCGGGCAUGCCUGUCUGAGCGUCGUUUCGACCCUCGCGCCCGGCUUCUGUCGGGGGCGGUGUUGGGGAUCGGCCACACCCUUCAGUGGGAGGCCGGCCCCUAAAUUCAGUGGCGACCACGCUGUAGCCUCCCCUGCGUAGUACUAAAACCACCUCGCAGGCGGAGAGCGGUGCGGCCCGCCGUAAAACCCCCCAACUUUUACAAGGUCGACCUCAGAUCAGGUAGGAAUACCCGCUGAACUUAAGCAUAUCAAUAAGCGGAGGA